ACCGCGUGUGUUUGUGUCUGUUUAAUUUGCAACAAGAACUUACAGAUAGGUUUAAGUAGUAAUCCUCUCUUGCAACCCAAAACUCAUUGUUGAAUAUGAGAUUUUGGUGCAUGGAAGAAGGAAUAUG